UGGAAGUAAAAAAGUUGUAACAAGGUCUCCGUUGGUGAACCAGCGGAGGGAUCAUUA
rnacentral:rRNA from 1 species